rnacentral:sRNA from 1 species
CUUCGUCCCCUCUCCCCGCCUGCGGGGAGAGGGCUAGGGUGAGGG